CCAAAUAAUAUAGAGAUUUUUAACAUCAGUCUUAUUUAAUUAUGAUUUUAACCAAGUGUCGUUAGCUCAAUUGGUAAAGACCUUAUGCAAAGCUUAGAGGUCGCCGGUUCGAGUGACGCUUGGGACGAAACUAAUAUUUUAUGCUGUGGUUUCAGGCCUGGGGGAUUACGGACUUUGACCCACAACCUCCAAGAUUUAAAAAAAA
rnacentral:sRNA from 1 species